rnacentral:rRNA from 1 species
CCCUUAGAUGUUCUGGGCCGCACGCGCGCUACACUGACGGAGGCAGCGAGCAUGUCCUUCGCCGAGAGGUGUGGGGAAUCUUGUGAGUCUCCGUCGUGCUGGGGAUAGAUGGUUGCAAUUGUCGGUCUUCAACGAGGAAUUCCUAGUAGACGUAGUUCAUCAGACUGCAUCGAUUACGUCCCUGCCCUUUGUACACACCGCCCGUCGCUCCUACCGAUUGAAUGCUCAGGUGAGCCAUUCGGACUUUCAUCAUGCUGGUUUCCAGUUUUGAUGAAGGAAAGUCUUGCGAACCUUAUCAUUUAGAGGAAGGAGAAGUCGUAACA